UCUGCUCACUCUGCUCUGGGAUAGCCCUGCUCUGUCUAUGGAGCAGUCAUUCAGGUGGACACUGUUGCCGUAAGAAACUUGCUUUUCUUGAAUUGUUUCCUGAGCAAAGCCAAGAACUCUCCCAGGGUGAGCCCCAAUUCUGGGGUUUGCCUGCAUCAGCCUGGCAACCAUGAACGAAUAAACAACAAUGAACAAGAUGAACAUGACAAAGGGGCUCAGCAAAAACUGAGACUCUGGAGCUAUAACACUAUGAAGCUGUAACUCUGUAAGGCUGUAGAGCUGUACAUGAGCCAAAGGCUCUUUUUACAGUCAAUCAUCAUUCCUGAUGACUAAUAAGCCAAGGGUACCUGAGGGAAACCUUCACCCAGAUGCCAAAUUAAGACCAAUCAACACCAUCUGGCUUCCAAGGACAGAAUAACCGCAACCCGGUUUUACAGAAGGUCAUUUAGAUCACACAGUCACUCUGCAUCAGAGCUGGAGAAUCUGAAUUUAUGAGUAUCUUGCAUCAAAACGCUGCCUCAGAGAGAACAGAAAGUGAAAAUAUAAAUUCCUGAAAUCAUACAGUAAGAG